rnacentral:lncRNA from 1 species
AGAGAAAGAAGGAAAGAGCUACAGACAUGUUUCGAAAAAUCUUAGCUGACAAGCCUCAUGUAAUUUGUAUUCCUUUUCCAACUCAAAGCCAUGUAAAGGCAAUGCUUAAACUAGCAAAACUACUGCAUUACCGAGGUUUUCACAUAACCUUUGUGAACACAGAGUUCAACCAUAGACGCAUGCUUGAAUCUAGAGGCCCUUCUUCCCUGAAUGGCUUGCCCGACUUUCGGUUCGAAUCUAUCCCAGAUGGCCUCCCUCCUUCAGAUGAGAAUGCUACCCAAGAUGUACAAGCACUUUUUGAGGCUUGCAUGAAGAACUUGCUAGCUCCAUUUAAUGAAUUGCUUGCCAAGCUCAAUGAUACAGCAUCUUCUGAUGUUCCUCAAUUGACUUGCAUUGUAUCUGAUGGAUUUGUUCCAGCUGCCAUCACUGCUGCUCAGAGGCAUGGAAUUCCUGUUGCUUUGUUCUUUUCUAUCUCUGCUUGCAGUUUCAUGGAGUUUAAGCAAUAUAAAGAGCUCAAAGAAAGAGGACUGUUUCCAUUAAAAGGUAAGAGCAAGAAUUGGAAUUGAAAUCACAACUUCAUUAUGAUUUUCUGUUAUUUCAUUUGGGCAUUAGAUAAAUAUCCUAGUAGUUCAUGUGCUGCAUCAUCGUAGCCGUCAUCCAUCGAAAUAAAUAGAUUACUACAUUAACUGAUCAGUUCAUAUGGACUAAGACUUUCUGAUUGAAUGGUACAAUAUCCUGGUAGUUUAUGCUGGAUCAUGGUUAUCAUUCCAGGGUAGCCCUUCGGCUGCGUAACCUGAAAUUUGAUUUCAAGCUAGGGAACCUUUCUUCUCUUCUGAUUUUACGCUAAUUCCUCUUCUGCUGUUGUCUUCAUUUACUAGCCCAUACUGGUAUACUACAUAUGCAUUUAAUUUUUGUUCGCAGACGAGAGCUUUUUAACAAAUGGCUAUUUGGAUCAAGUACUAGACUGGAUUCCAGGAAUGAAAGAUAUACGAUUGAGGGAUCUUUCAAGUUUUCUUCGUACAACAGAUCCAGAUGAUUACCUUUUCAACUUCUGCAUGGAAUGUGCUGAGAGAGCUUCUGAAGGUUCUGCAGUGAUUUUCCAUACUUUUGAUGCUUUGGAGAAAGAAGUCUUGAGUGCUCUUUACUCAAUGUUUCCUCGUGUCUACACGAUCGGUCCACUUCAAUUACUUCUCAAUCAAAUGAAAGAAGAUGAUCUAGAUUCUAUUGGAUAUAAUCUAUGGAAAGAAGAGGUUGAGUGUCUCCAAUGGCUUGAUUCCAAGAAACCAAACUCCGUGCUUUAUGUGAAUUUUGGUAGCGUAGCGGUCGCCACAAAGCAGCAGCUGAUUGAAUUGGGAAUGGGACUUGCUAAAAGUGGUCACCCAUUUUUAUGGAUAAUAAGGCCUGACAUGGUCACAGGCGACUCCGCCAUAUUGCCACCAGAAUUCACUGACGAGACUAAAGACAGAGGAUUUAUUUCAAACUGGUGUCCACAAGAGGAAGUUCUGAACCACCCAUCAAUAGGAGGCUUCCUAACACAUAGUGGAUGGAAUUCAAUAGCUGAGAGCAUUUCUUCUGGGGUGCCCAUGCUUUGUUUGCCGUUCUUUGGUGAUCAACAAACGAACUGUAGGUACACUUGCAAUGAGUGGGGCAUUGGAAUGGAGAUUGAUAGCAAUGCGGAAAGAGAUAAAAUGGAGAAGCUUGUGAGAGAGUUGAUGGAGGGAGAGAAAGGUAAGAGCAUGAAGAAGAAAGCCAUGGAGUGGAAAAAACUAGCAGAGGAGGCCAAUGGUCCAAGUGGUUCAUCGUCUAUGAAUUUAGACAAAUUGGUGAAGGAAGUGCUUUUGUCGUGAAAAAAUAAAACUGCAUGCUAAACUAAAGACAGUUAAAGCUGAAGACGAAUGUAUUGUUCUCAAGGUGACAUGGUGGUUUCAUUGUAAUGAAGUGAAUUUUUAUUUUUGACCUUUUUGUGUGAAGAUUGAAGAAAGGGGCUGCAAGCCCUCAAAAUAAAUUACAAUAGGCGAGGAGAGGAAAGGCAGAACCAAUGAGAUCACGAUGCAAUACAGGGAGCAAUAUAUUGUUGAGGUAAACUCGAUCGUAUAUGAGUUGUGAAAACAUAUCAAGAACUAGCUGUGCAGCUGCUCUCUGCUGUCUGCUCGACAGGCAGUAUUUUCAUCAAUUUACUUUUAGAUUCACCCCCUUUUAAUGGCCGAAGAUUGAGAAAGUACUAUAAUUUUAUUUAUUAUAGUAAAAACUAAAAGAGCCAAGGUUUUCCUUUGGCAAUUUUCGAUGUUUAUUACUGCUCAUCCUCUUAUAUUUCACCUUGGAUUUCAACAGUGUUUUUUUCUUUUCUUUUUUAUAAACUUUUAAUUUGGUCUUCAAAAUUUUAUUUUGUAUAAUUGAGUUUUUUGAGUUCAAAAAAGGAACAAACGACACUGUUUAUUCUCUUUAUCUUUUACCCGGUUAAAAUUGGUUUGUAUUAAUCAAUCUUAGAAACAAUACAAAUAAAAUAGGAGGAGAUAAAACUCUCUCAACUCAACUCUACUAUCUCAAGCUUUCUCUAUUCUUCUCUGUUCUCUUUUCUCGAUGUUUCACGCAACUGUAACUCUCUUCUUCUCCUCACAAUUUAUCACGCACACAAACAGCUCAUAUACAUAUACAAUGGUGGGAGGUGAAGGGGCAUAAAUCAUGCCAUGAUUUAUGCCAUCCAUUUGUGUCCUCCACCAUAUGCAAAGUGGGAAAUUAGGUAUUCCCACUUGCACAUGGUGGGACAUUGUUGUCUCCAUAAUGCUAACAUCAACAAUUGAGAGCCUUUCUUCUGGUGUGCCUAUGCUUUGUUGGCGAUUCUUUGCAGAUAAGCAAACAAACUGUAGGUACACUUGCAAUGAGUGGGGCAUUGGAAUGGAGAUUGAUAGCAAUGCGGAAAGAGAUAAAGUGGAGAAGCUUGUGAGAGAGUUGAUGGAGGGAGAGAAAGGUAAGAGCAUGAAGAAGAAAGCCAUGGAGUGGAAAAAACUAGCAGAGGAGGCCAAUGGUCCAAGUGGUUCAUCGUCUAUGAAUUUAGACAAAUUGGUGAAGGAAGUGCUUUUGUCGUGAAAAAAUAAAACUGCAUGCUAAACUAAAGACAGUUAAAGCUGAAGACGAAUGUAUUGUUCUCAAGGUGACAUGGUGGUUUCAAUGUAAUGAAGUGCUUUUUUAUUUUUAACCUUUUUGUGUGAAGAUUGAAGAAAGGGGCUGCUGCAAGCCCUCAAAAUAAAUUACAAUAGGCGAGGAGAGGAAAGGCAGAACCAAUGAGAUCACGAUGCAAUACAGGGAGCAAUAUAUUGUUGGGAGGGAAUUAUUUUUUAUUUGGUUUGGAUUUUAGCUAUAAAAAAUAAUUAAAUUAAAAUUUUAUAUAUAAAAAAAACUUAAAUCAAUCCAAAAUAAAUAUAACCGACUAGUUUGGAUUUGGUUCGGUUUGGUUUUUAUAUUAAAGUAAAAACUAAAAGAGCCAAGGUUUUCCUUUAGCAAUUUUUGAUGUUUAUUAAUGCUUCAACAGUGUAUUUUUUUAUAAACUUUUAAUUUGAUUUUCAAAAUUUUAUUUUGUAUAAUUGAGUUUUUUGAGUUCAGAAUAUGAGUAAAAUAAGAUAAAUACCAAAAACACCAUGCCUUUCAUUGUGUGUACCAAGGACCUGAUUUGAAAUAAAGAUCUUGUAUGCAAAUAUACACCAUGCCUUAUAUGUAUAUAUUUCUAUUGCACUGACAUAUUUUUUCAUAUGCUUAACUCUCUGGCAGAGAAGUGUGUGUCUGUCUGUAUAUGUAUAUAUUGAACUAAUGAUUGCUUAGUAUUAAUGUUCCCGAAGGACAAAACAUCAUAUCUACGUCCAAAUGGUUCAAUGAAUUUGGGUUCCUGCUGACUGAAUCCCUUACAAACACUACACGCUACGCUUCUUUUCAUGAAAAAUCUCGCCUAACAAGUCAAAGGUUGAAUAACUUAACUUUCAUUUAUGGGAAAUAUCUUUAUUGAUGGCUUGUUAUGUAAUAAAAAAAUCAUAAAAUUUUAUGAUAUUUAGACAUAGAAUAGAGCAAUUAUAUGAAUGUAGAUAAAUCAAUAUAUAUUUUUUGAAUUAAAUGAAUCUUAUCAAUAUUUUGUGAAUUUCGAUGAUAAAUCUAAAAUUUUUAUUAUAAAAAAAGGGAUGAUAAUAAUCCAAACCAAAAAUAAUAUUGUUUAUAAAAACUAAAAGAGCCAAGGUUUUCCUUUGGCAAUUUUCGAUGUUUAUUACUGCUCAUCCUCUUAUAUUUCACUUUGGAUUUCAACAUUUUUUUUUUUUUUAUAAACUUUUAAUUUGGUCUUCAAAAUUUUAUUUUGUAUAAUUGAGUUUUUUGAGUUCAAAAGAGGACCAGAUGACACUGUUCAUUGUCUUCUUCUUUUACCCGGUUAAAGUUGGUCUGGUCGCCUACUUUUCAGGUGCAUUUAAUGCACCAAACAUCCAUCAAAUUUAACCAAACUUGCACGGAAAUGAUCCUCUACAGUCACUCUACACCCCCAUGUGAAUAGUUUAGUCUGAAUGGCAACCAAGUAGCGCUGACCUAAACAUGCCAACUCAGACAACUUUUUUUGCAGAUUUGACAGUGCCCUAUGCUUACUUUGAGUCAACGGUUUGAAUCCUUCCUAAAAGAAUCAAGGGCUGAAAUUUUACCCCGGUGAAGACGAGAUUACCCUCUUCCACCACCUAUAAAUAGAGGCGGAGUUGAUGGCUUGAGGGAGGAGAAAAUUGGGUCCAAAAUCAGCCAAAAGCCAGCCCUUUUGCCCCAUUUCUGUAGUUUUUUUUCCUCCAUCUCUCUCCCCGCCGUUCCAGCCAACAAACCGGAGCCACCACCAGCUACACCACAGGAACCCAACACAAUUGCCAACAGACCACCAAGAGCCACCUUCGAUUUCUCUUUCCUCUCUGCAGCCCCUCCCGUUUUCUUCUUCUUCUUUUUCUUCCUUUGCCACCAGCCACCAUCUUUGCCACAGCCUCAGUUACCUUCAUCACGCCAGCCCCUCACUAUCUCCACUACCAGCGGUCGCCUUAACUCCUCACCAAAGGCAAAGCAUACACCGCUGGUCCCUCUCUCUCUCCUGCAGAUUUUCUUCUCCUUCUUUCUUCCUGCUCUGCCACUAGCAACCGCCGGUCUCACCACCGCACGACGUCCUCCGUGGCCAGAUCACCACCGUGCCUAGUAGCCUUCUUCUCCACCCAUCUCCAACUUCUGCAACCAUUUGGUUGCAUGCAGAACGUGAACAAUAACUGUUCACAUUCUACAACUGUGCAACAUAAAUUUUUUUAAUGUAUUAAUAUAAUAAUAUAUUAUAUGUUAUUAUUAUAUUUUAAAAAAAAACAAAAAAAUUCAAAAAAUCUUUUGAAAUUUUUUUUUGAUUUUCUCAAAUAGUUUUCUACCAAUUUUGCAUAUAUCGGGUUGUAUAAUUACAUUGUAAAAUACAAAUCUGGUAUUAAAAUACCCGGUUUUCUCCGAAAUAUUUUUUUAAAAAAUCAAAACAUUUUUUUUUAAAAAUAUUUUUUUAUUGCAUACGACCAAAUCCUAAAAUUUUUCCAAGUAUAUUUUUCUUAAAAAAACAAAAAUUGCAUCUUUUUCAUGUUUGAAAAACAAAAUCCAAAAAUUGAUAUCGUUACCAGUUUAUGAUUAUCCAUUAGGAUUUGACCAACAUGUCAAAAAUCUUUUUAAAAUUUUUUUAGGAUUCAGAUGUAGACUUUAAUAUUUGUGGGUUGUAAAAUUACACGAUAAAGUACACCCUCGGGUAUUAAAGAUACAAGGUGUAGAAAUGCGAUGUUAAAAUUUAGACUUUAGAACAGUUAGGAUUUAACCCAAUAAAGUAGAGACUCUCUCAUGAAGAGAGAUCUACCUUGAGCCUUAGAAAGACCAAUAAAAAUCAAUUAAACAACAAUGCAGCUUACCUUGGGUAGGAUGCACUAGGGGUGAUGCGUCUUCCCCUUGCACAAUCAGUCCCUUACUUAGACUCUCGUAGAUCAUAGGUUCCUAGUGACCAUAAUACUAGGUGGCGACUCCUAAACAUUAGUCAUAAUUUUAUGAUUAAAUCCAAAAAACCUUCCCAACACACCACACCUCUCAUCAGGAGGCACGACAAAGAGCCUUCAUCGUCGCCAGACGACGUCGCGCCCCCCGCGACAAUACUCAUCCUAAAUAAUAGGAUGGCAUUCACUAUGCAAAUGUCUAUAGCAUCCUCUUUUUUUUUUUGAAUUUUAAAUUAAUUGAUAAUUAAAAUUUAUAAUUUAAUAAUUAGUUUUAUAUGAGAUUAUUUUAGUAUAAUGAUCCGGGUUGCAAGUUUGACAUGUUGAUUCAAGUUAUUUUUACAAUUUACUUUCUAUAAUAUUAUUCUAGUCUCAUGAUAUGAGUUAUAAGUUUGAUGGGUUUAACUGGAUUUACUCAGGUUAUGUGUGUGUGUGUGUAAUUUUUUCUUAAUUUUAUCAUUUAACAUUAAGUAGAUAGGUAGAUUGAAAAUUAGACUUUAUAAUUUAUUUCAAUUUACUUUCUAUGAGGUUAUCCUAACAUUAUAAUUCGAGUUAUGGGUUUGAUAUAUUAUUUUUGGGUUGACUCAAGUCUUUUUUUUUUCUUAUGUUUUAAUUAUUUUAUUUUCAAUUUCAUCAUUUAAUAUAUAUUGGGUUGUUUGGGAAAUGAACUUCAUAUUUUUUUUUGAUUUUAUUUAUAUAAAGUUAUUAUAUUCUUAUGAUUUAGGUCGUGGAUUUUGUCAGAGAACCAUCUCAACCCAAUAGUUUAAGCUGUUAGGUGAGGUUCAGGAUAUAAUUUAUAUUAUUCUCUAACACACCCUUCAAGUGAAAGCCCUUUAGGCUUGAAACUUGCACAUGCUUACAUUACCUUAUGCUUAAUUUUUAUCAAAUAAAUGGGGGUUGUGAGAUUCGAACUCGUGACCACUUGGUCAUUAAGGCUAUGAUACCAUGUCAGAGAACCAUCUCAAUACAAUACCUUAAGAUGUUAGCUGAAGUUCCAGGAUAUAAUUUAUAUUAUUCUCUAACAUAUUUAACAUGUUAACUCAGAUUGAUAUAAGUAGAUUUAAUAUGAUCUCAAAUUUAUUUAUUUUUUAUAUAAAUAUAUUAAAAUCAUGAAAAAUACUAAAAAGACAAUUUAAUAUUUUUUUUCAAGAUAAAUAAUAUUCUAAAAAUCACUUGGAAGGAAGAGCAACAUUAAUUUCACAAGAUUUUUCAUGAAAAGAAGCGUGGCGUGUAGUGUUUGUGAAGGAUUCAGUCAGCAGGAACCCAAAUUCAUUGAACCAUUGGACGUGAAUAUGAUGUUUUGUCCUUGGGGAAAAUUAAUAUCAAGCAAUCAUUAGUUUAAUAUUUUUGCAGUGAUUUCAACCCAGAUGAAAUGGUAAUAUUGGUGAGAAUAUUCGUGCCUUUAUGACUUUGCCAAGAUGUAAUGGCAAUUUCUACGUUCUUAUCAAAUGCAAAGAUAAUAAUUGACAGCCCUGAUAUUUAAUUUGUGUUUCAUGCCAUAAUAGACUGGAAAAACAGUGUGCGGUCGCAUCUCAUUCAUGAAUCUGAGUACAAAUACGUCCAAGCAGCAAGGUGAAUCAGCACAAUAUCCUGCAAAGAUAAUAAUUGACAGCCCUGAUUCUUGACUACAAAAAAAAAAAAAAAAAAUACUUGAGAUGUUGAUCGUGUUGUGAUUGGACACAAUGAACCUCUCUUCGCUUCUACGAAGAAGAUGAAAUUGAUGAUCUGUCCUCCUUCUUUCUUAUGAAAUCUUAACUCAGAGGUUUUAUUCGAUGACCCGUUAGCUCGGAGUUCAGCCGGGGCUGAGUUUGGUUUUGAAUUGUUGAAGAAGUUGAUCGAUCAAACUUGAGUGGUUUAUGAGAAUUUGCGGCCUAAAUAAUCUAGUCAAUGUUUUAUGAUAUAUAUAUAUAUAUAUAUAAACAAUGUUAUUUCAAUUUAUUUAUUUAUUUUUAAUAAAAUAACAUUAUUUUAAUAAAAUUUAAUAAAUUCAAGUUAACCCAUCUUUAAUUAAAAGAGUUUCAUAUUUUUUAAAGACCAUGAUUUGUCAUAAAAAUAAUGUAUGUUAUGUUAAUUUAAUAUGUCUUGUAAUCAAUAAGUUAAUCACACAUUAUAUUAUUAUAUUAAUAUAUUUUUUAAAUAAAAAAUAUUUUAAAAAAUAAUCACUACCACACUUUCCAACACUAAAAACAAUCUCUUGCAAAGAUAAUAAUUGACAGCCCUUAUUCUUUAUAUAUAUAAAAGAAAAAACCUUCAGAUGUUGAAGGUGUGUGAUUGGACACAGUGAACCUCUCUUCGCUUCUGGGAAGAAGAUUAAUUGAUCUGUCCUCCUUCGUUCUUUUAUAACAGACAGCAUAGUUAUAAAAUCUUAACUCAGUGGUUUCAUUCAAUGAUCCGUUAACUUGGAGUUCAGCCCUAGCUAAGUUUUGUUUUGAAUGGUUGAACAAGUUCAUCGAUGAAACUUGAGUGAUUUGAUGAGAAUUUGCGACCUAAGCAAUCUAGUCAAUGUUUUAGUAAAUUUAUAUCCAAAAAAAAAAAACGUAGUUUUUAAUUAAUUUUUUUAAGAAAACAAUAUCAUUUAAAAAAAAAAAAAAAACUCAAUCCGAGUUCCAACUUUUUCCUUAUAAAAACACCCUUACCUUUCAUUGGGUGUAUACACGUACAAAAAUUGUAGCUUUGCUCUAUAUAGGGACAGAAUCUCUAUAUUGUGUAGGCAAUAUAUAGAGCAAAUAUAGAAAGAAAGUAAGAAACAAAGAAUUAGAGAGAUGAUUUUUAAUAUUUUAGCUGACAAGCCUCAUGCAGUUUGCAUUCCCGGCCCAGCUCAGAGCCACAUUAAGUCAAUGCUUAAGCUAUCAAAAUUACUACAUUACAAAGGUUUUCACAUAACCUUUGUCAACACAGAGUUUAAUCAUAAACGUUUGCUUAAAUCUAGAGGUCCUGAUGCCAUGAAUGGCUUGCCCGAUUUUCGGUUUGAAUCCAUUCCAGAUGGCCUCCCUCCUUCGAAUGAGAAUGAAACCCAAGAUGUCGCUGCACUUUGUGAGGCUGCCAAGAAGAACUUAUUAGCUCCGUUUAAUGACCUCCUCGACAAGCUUAAUGAUUCAGUAUCUUCUAAUGUGCCUGCAGUGACUUGCAUCGUCUCUGAUGGUUUCAUGCCCGUCGCUAUCGAUGCUGCUGAGAUGCGCCAAAUUCCGAUUGCUUUGUUCUUCACCAUCUCUGCUUCCAGCUUCAUGGGAUUUAAACAAUUUCAAGCACUCCGAGAAAAAGGUCUUACACCACUGAAAGGUAUGAGCAAGGAAAAAAAAAAUGUAACUAUAUAUAUUUUGAUUGGGAUUUUCUACUAGUUCAUUGGAUGGUCCGUGAACAAGGGAAAAAGAUCAUUUUUAUUCAUUGACGUUGCAUUACCUUUUAUCAAAAAGCUAAUAUAUGAAUUCAAUUUUAUUUUUUUUGUUGCAGAUGAGAGCUUUUUAAGUAAUGGCUACUUGGACAGAGUUGUAGAUUGGAUCCCAGGAAUGAGAGAUAUAAGGCUAAGAGACCUUCCAAGUUUUGUUCGUACAACAGAUCCAAAUGAUUUUAUGUUUAAAUACUGCUUGGAAUGUACUGGGCGGGCUUCUGAAGGUUCUGCAGUUAUUUUCCAUACUUUUGAUGUUUUGGAGCAAGAAGUUCUGGAUGCCCUUUACUCUAUGUUUCCUCGAGUCUAUACGAUCGGUCCACUUCAAUUGCUUCUCAAUCAGAUACAAGAAGUAUAUCUAAGUUCUAUCGGAUGCAAUCUUUGGAAAGAAGAGGUUGAGUGUCUCCAAUGGCUUGAUUCCAACAAAACCAAGUCAGUAAUAUAUGUGAAUUUUGGUAGCAUAACAACCGUUACGAAGGAACAGCUCGUUGAGUUUGGCAUGGGACUUGCUAAAAGUGGCCAUCCAUUUUUAUGGAUAAUAAGGCCUGAUAUGGUCACUGGCGACUCCACGAUAUUGCCUCCAGAAUUCACUGAAGAAACCAAGGAAAGAAGCUUUAUUUGUGGUUGGUGUCCGCAAGAGGAAGUCCUCAACCACCCAUCAAUAGGAGGUUUCCUAACACAUAGUGGAUGGGGUUCAACAAUUGAGAGCCUUUCUUCUGGUGUGCCUAUGCUUUGUUGGCCAUUCUUUGCUGAUCAGCAAACAAACUGUAGGUACACAUGCUCUGAGUGGGGAAUUGGAAUGGAGAUUGAUAACAAUGUGAAAAGAGAUAAAGUGGAGAAGCUUGUGAGAGAGUUGAUGGAGGGAGAGAAAGGUAAGAGCAUGAAGAAGAAAGCCAUGGAGUGGAAAAAACUAGCAGAGGAGGCCAAUGGUCCAAGUGGUUCAUCGUCUAUGAAUUUAGACAAAUUGGUGAAGGAAGUGCUUUUGUCGUGAAAAAAUGAAACAGCAUGCUAAACUAAAGACAGUUAAAGCUGAAGACGAAUGUAUUGAUCUCAAGGUGACAUGGUGGUUUCAUUGUAAUGAAGUGCUUUUUUUUUUUUUUUUUUCACCUUUUUGUGUGAAGAAAGGGGCUGAAAGCCCUCAAAAGAAAUUACAGUAGGCGAGGAGAGGAAAGGCAGAACCAAUGAGAUCACGAUGCAAUACAGGGAGCAAUAUAUUGUUGAGGUAAACUCGAUCGUAUAUGAGUUGUGAAAACAUAUCAAGAACUAGCUGUGUUGCUCUUUGCUCGACAGGCAAUAUUUUCAUCAAUUUACUUUUAGAUUCACCCCCUUUUAAUGGCCGAAGAUUGAGAAACUAUUAUAAUUUUAUUUUAUUAUAGUAAAAACUAAAAGAGUUAGAGGUUUUCCUUUAGCAAUUUUCGAUGUUAAUUACUGUUCAUCCUUUUAUAUUUUACUUUGAAUUUCAGCAUUGUAUUUUUUUAUAUAUAAAUUUUUAAUUUAAUCAUCAGAUUUUUAUUUUGUAUAAUUAAGUUUCUUGAGUGCAAAUUUAAACCUAAUUACAUAUUAUUUUGAGAGUGAAAGUUGAAUUGCAAGAUAAAGAACUGAAUUAAAAUAAUGAAGAAUUCUAUGAUUUUAAACGAUGAUCAUGUGAUUUUGAAGAGGAUAAGUACCAGCAAGUUGUGCCAUAAAACAGUGGCUGCAUUUAACUAGAUAUAAAUAUCGUCCAGCUAUCUAUGAAAUAACAAGCAAGCAAAGCUCCAUGAGUUUCUCCAGGUAAAACAAUGGAACCCAAGCCAGCACACAGGCCUCAUGAUUUGUCGUUCCAGUUCCAUUUCAAAGCCACAUCAAGCAAAUCUUAAAUUGGCAAAACUUCUGCGUUGCAGAGGUUUCUUCAUAACAAUUGUAAACACAGAAUUCAAUCACAAACGUUUCUUGAAAUCAAAAGGCUCUGAUGCCUUUGACGGUUUGCCUGACUUGCGUUUCGAAACCAUUCCUGAUGGUCUCCCUCCCUUAGAUAUUGAGACCACCCAUGACCAAACUUCUCUUUGUAAUGUUUUUGCAACAAAUUUCUUGACUCCUUCUCCGGACUUUGUUCAGUUCAGAUCAAGAUAUCUUUAUAUUAGUUUAAUUCUUUUAUUAUUUAGAACAUUAUAGUUAUAAAAAAAACUUGUAAUUUAGCAUUAUUAAACAAUACAAAAAGAAAGAGAAUAAUUAAGAGAGCUUAGAGAGAAACACUUAAUAAAAAUAUAUAUUUCUCUCAAUUUUCUUCUCGUUCUUAAGUUCAAGAUGAAGGAUUAUGAAAAAAAAAAUAAUCCAGUUGAGUGUGGAGUGAAGAUAUCUAAGAAUGAUAAAGUGAAAAAGAUAAACUCUAUAACAUUCAAAAUCCUAGUUGAGAGUUUAAAAUAUUUGACAUCCACUCGUCCGGUUAUUAUUUUUAGAGUAGGACUUGUGAGUUGAUUUUGGCUUAUGUUAUGGAUAUUUUAAUAGCUUUAAUCGUUUGGGUUAUAGUGAUAGUUAUUGGGUUGGAGAUAUGAAUGAUAGAAAAUGCAAUACAAGUUUUUUUUUUUUUUUUUCUAUAUGGGAGACAUGGCAUUCACAUGAAGUUCAAAGAAGCAAUCUAUAGUCACCUUGUCAACAUGUGUUUUUCAUUCCAUUUAACUAAAGAGAUUAUUGAAGGAAUUGUGAAUACCAUAAAAGAAUCCUAUUGAAAUUUAUGUGGACAAUUCCUCAAUUAUUGCAUUAGCAACCAAUUCAGUAAUUCAUUAUAGAAAUAAGCAUACUGAUACAAUAUUUCAUCACCUACAAGAUUGCAUGCAAACAAGAAAGUUGAAGUCAAGUAUGUGAAGACACAAGAUCAAGUUGCAAAUACAUUCACAAAACCACUUAAAUAUAAUGUUUUUAUCAAGAUGAGAGACAUGUUUGGAGUUAUGAAAAAAGCAAGUUCAAGGGGGGUGUUGAAAGUAAACCAGAUUUCAUUUCUAAAAAAUAGAGGAACCGGUCUAUUAGUUGAAAACCAGUUGACCAGCUUUAAUAAGUUGAAUUGGUCAACCAAUUCAGAAAUGGUUAACUAGUUCAGUAGGUAGAAUACAAUUCAUGUUCAAAUUAGAAUUUCCUUGUGUUAGUUUAAUUCCGUGAUUGUCUAAGACCUUAUGCCUAUAAAAAGGCUUGUAAUUCAACAUUAUGGACAAGUACAAAAAAAAAAGAGAAUAGCUAAGAGAGCUCAAAGAAAAACACUUAAUAAAAGUAUAUCUUCCUCUCAAUCUUCUUUUUAUUCUUGAGUUUUGACUUUGUAUUACUAUUUUUGACAAAGUGACUAUAUAUUGCUUCUUCAAACUCCAUAUGAAUGAUGUGUCCCCCAUGUAGAAAACAAAACUUGUGUAAUUUCUAUCAUUCAUAUCUCCAUCUCAAUCACUAUCAUUAUCACUAUAACCUACAAGUUCAAAGUUACUAGAAUAACCAUAUAAUAAGCCAAAAUCAACAGUACUUUGAUAUACCGAAGAAUUCACUUCAAAGCUUUGAAGUGUGUCAUAACAGGUGUCUCCACAAACCUCCUCACAAGUCCUCAUCCAAAAAAAAUAUUUGGAUGAGUGCAUGUCAAAUAUCUCAAACUCCUAACUAAGCUUUCGAAUGUUGUAGAGUUUAUCUUCUCCCCUUCAUCAUUCUUUGACAUCUUUACUCCACACUAACCUAGAGUAUUCACUUUUACACAAUCCUUCAUCUUGAACUUUUUUAGAACUUCCCUUGCAAACUUCUCUUGAUUUAUAAAAAUUCUAUUUUCUCCUUAUUUGAUUUCAAUUCUUAAGAAGUAGGACAUGAGACCAAUAUUUGCUAUCUCAAACUCAAGAACAAGAAGUUUGAGAGAAAGAUAUACUUUUAUUAAGUGUUUCUCUCAAAGCUAUCUUAGCUAUUCUCUCUCUUUUUUGUACUUGUUCAUAAUGUUGAAUUACAAGCCUUUUUAUAGGCAUAAAGUUCCAUACAACCAAGGAAGAAUUAAACUAAUACAAGAAAACUCUAUUCUGAAUAGAAAUUAUAUUCUGUCAACUAAAUCAAUCAAUCAUUUUUAAAUUAGUUGAGCGGUUCUCAACCGGUAAACCAGUUUUUCUAUUUUUCAGAACUGAAAUAUAGUUUACUUUCAACAAAGAGCUUGAACCGGUGACAACAAACAAAUCCUUAGAAGAUGGGGGGGAAAGCUCUAUCUCAAAAAACCCAGCCACCGUUCUAGACAAACAUAGUUUCUUCUCACGAACACAGAAAACAACCUGAUCUUCCAUACAAGCCAUAUUACCCCCAGCCUCAGCUACCAUCCAUCACCUUAAACACUCAGACUUUAACAAACUACCGUGGUUUUCACCUACAAUGUUACUUGGAAAACUUCCCAAGUUGGGUCGAUUACCAUAAGCUCAAAGACCGUUUCAGAAAACAGGGCAAAGUUAUUAAGUUGUUUGUUUCUCGAAAAACAAAUCAAGCAGGAAAGCAUUUUGGCUUCGUCACCAUCCUCUCGAAUCUGUCAGACAAAACUCUGCUGGAAUGUUUAAAUGACAUAUGGUUUGAUUCCUACAAAUUGAGAGUUAAUGUGGCUAAGCACAGAAGAAAAGAUGAAGUGAUGAAACAAAAAACAGUGGGAACAUGGAAACAAAUAUCCAAGCUUAACAACAAAGCCAAGGCCCCCAUCCGUGUAAGAGAUAACCGAAGCUAUCUUAAGGCAGUAAGAUCAGGGAGUCAAGUGCAUCAAGCGUCUGAUAAUGCCACACCACGUCCUCAUAACUUCAUUUCUUUCAACACUACAGAUGAGGAAAUUCUAUGGUUAAGAAAUAGUCUUAUAGGCAAGAUAUCUUAGGGAGUAGAUUAUGCACAAAUCAGACAUGGAUUAAUUCAGCUAGGCAUUUGCUUCUCUGCUGUCCAUUUCCUGGGGGGUUCCCAGGCAAUCAUCAGCUUUGAUGGUGAGAAAUCUAUGCAACAAGCCAUGCAGAAAGGUAUGGAAUGCUGGAAGCUCUACUUUGAUGAAGUUCACCCGUGGACGGAAGAAGAUGUGACAGAGAGUCGUCUAGCAUGAAUCUCCAUCUCUCACUUGCCUAUCUCUGGCUGGAGUUUGAGAUGUAUCUCAAACCUCUUCAUGAACCAUGGACGGGUGAUAGGUUUUGACAAGACCAGCCUAAAAAUCUCUGAACUUUAUAGCGUGAAAAUCCUUAUAGGUACUCACUUGCCGGAGAUCCACGACUCUAUAGAUCUCAUGCUAAACUCCAAGUUAGUACACAUACAGCUGGAUGAGAUUGACCCUUUAAGAUAUCCAGAGGCAAAAGGAAUUUCAUACUCGAUGGCAGAAUUUCAAACCAUAUUACUUCAGGGAGAAGAUGCUGACAGUGACUCAGAUGAUGAAGUGUACACUAAUCUGGCUUUUGACUUGACAAGAGAUGACAACAUUUGCAGGCUGGCUAUCGCUGAUAAGAAUUGUGGAGCUGCUGACAAGGCACACACGCUAGAGGCAAGGAAGCACAACCCACAUGGGACAUAUGAGGUCUACGAUCAUAGCUUUGCGGCCACAAUAAAUGAAACUGACAACGCAGAACUGCUACAUAUCGUUGUUGAAGAUCUCUUUCCAGAAAUAUCGUCUCCUAGGACUCCCCACCACUGUUUCUCUACCAACAAGCUUUCCCAAAAUCAACUCCAAGCAGAACGGGGCCUUGUCUUAUACGAUGUGAAUUCAGCAAGCCCACUAGAGCAUCCAAGCAUGGCUUUCAAAAGAGACUCUUUCUCGCCACAACCUUAUACCCCUAUCAGCAGUGAUGAUUCUUUAGAAUCUCACUACAAAAUCCAAACCUUGCCUCUUACAUCCAACCAACACCGGACCCCAACAGCCAAACAACCAAGACUAAAGAAAAUAUCCUCUACUGGGAGUCUCCUCUCCUUGCACUCUUCAGCGAGCAUAUCUUCUAUGGACUCUUAAAUCAGGGUGAAUAAUACUCGUAACCUGAAAGAAUCUGCAGCGGAGUCGUCUCACAAUGAAGUCAACAAAAUGAUCCAUUUGGGAGAAGCUUUGGGUCUUGGUAAUUCAGCUCUCUUGGAACAAUUUUCUGGUCUUAUCAUAAGACAGCUAGAAAAGGAGAAGGAAGAUUGGCAGAAACAACAAUGAAUAGUAAGUUUUCAUCCCUGCAGAUAGGCUUUUAAUUCUGUCAUGAAUAUUCUUUCUUGGAAUUCCUGUGGCUUGGGCAUGAUGAGGAAACGAAGAAGAAUCACGAAAUUAAUAGCAGAAUAUAAGAUUGAUAUAUGUUUCAUGCUGGAAACUAAGCUAGCUAAUUGUUCCAUUGGUUUUGUAUCUCGUAUUUGGAAUGAAAAUCAUGUGAGUUGGUUUAGUAAUGAUGCUCAAGGAUCAAAAGGAGGUCUGCUUGCUAUGUGGAAAAACACUAACUUUGAAGUCUCUAAUAUUGAAUAUGGUCAUGGUUGGAUCGGUUUAUAUGGUAAACAUGUUCACAGUGAUUUUCAUUGCUUUGUUAUUGGCAUCUAUGCUCCUUGUAACUAUCAGGACAGACAAAAACUUUGGGAGGAUCUCAUUCUUCUGAAGCAUGCUUUUGAAGUUCCAUGGAUAAUAGCAGGAGAUUUUAAUGAAACGCUCUCUCAGAAAGACAGAAACAGUGGAAUUUGUCAUCCUGCAGGCUCAAAUUCUUUUAGCAGAUUUGCAGUCUUGUGAGCUCACUGAAUACCCUUUAGCAGAAGGUUAUUUUACCUGGUUCAGAGGAAGGUCCAAGAGCAAACUAGAUCGAAUGUUCGCAAGCUCAACCUACCAUCUUCACUUCCCCAGUUUAUCUCUUCGACGACUUCCAAGAGAGUUCUCAGAUCAUUGCCCUCUAAUUCUAUGUAGCUUCUUGCAAGACCAUGGAUGGCGUCCUUUUCGUUUCUUGGACUGUUGGACUCAAUACCCAAAUUUCAAGCACAUUAUUGAAAGCUUCUGGAAUGAUGCAUGCUCCCUUCACCCUGGCCGCUUUAAAUUUCUCAAAAAGCUUAAUCAUAUUGCAGUCAAAUUGAGGCAAUGGAAUAAGCUUGUAUUUGGAAAUCAAGAAGCUGGCCUUCAACGAACCCUUUCAGCUAUCAACAUACUAGAGGAAAAAUGUGAAGAAGAAGGUUUAACCGACCAAGAGCAGGAGCAUUUAGACUUUUUGUUGAAAGACCGUGGGUUCGCAACAAUCACAUUGAAUCUAUUUGGAGGCAGAAAUCAAGACAGAUGUGGUGCAAAUUGGGUGACAGAAAUAACAAGUUUUUUCACAUGAUUGCCAAUUUCAGGAAGGCUAAAUCAUCAAUACUUAAAAUCCACCAUAAUGGCAACACUUUUGACUCUCAGCAGGGAAUUAAGCAGGCUGCUGUGGAUUAUUUCUCUGAGCUGUAUGACUCCCCCUCUGGUAAAAAGCCGCAGUUAAAUCCUUUGGGUUUCAAAUGUCUCUCUAAAGAAUCCUCUGAAUGGUUGGAGCAAGAAAUCACAAUGGAAGAAGUGAAGCGCAGUGUAUGGGGUUGUGAUGGGUCAAAAUGUCCUGGACCAGAUGGUUUCAACUUCAAAUUCUACAGAUUAGCAUGGGAUUUUAUUGCUCAAGACAUUCUCGAUAUAGUCUUAAGCUUCUUCAGAACAGGAAGGCUUCCCAAAGGAAUCAAUACAACCUACGUAACUCUCCUCUCCAAGACAGUCGAACCCAUUGAGUUUAAAGAUUUUCGGCCCAUCAGCAUGAUUCAUGGUAUUUAUAAGAUCAUUGCUAAAAUCCUUGCAUCUAGACUGAAAGCUGUUAUGCAAGAUAUCAUUAGCAUUAACCAAUCAGCGUUUAUAGCAGACCGCAACAUUAUAGAUGGCUUUAUGAUUGCAAAUGAGCUGGUGAGUGAUCUAAAGAAGCGAAAAGUGGCAGGUCUGAUUUUCAAGAUUGAUUUCCAUAAAGCCUUCGACUCAGUCUCUUGGGAUUACCUAGAUGAUAUCAUGGGUUAUAUGGGGUUUGGUAGAAAAUGGAGAACCAUGAUUUAUGAAUGUCUUUCUUCAUCAAGACUCUCGGUCCUCAUCAAUGGAUCUCCUUCAAAAGAAUUCUCUGUUCGGCGAGGACUGCGUCAAGGAGACCUAAUUUCCCCUUUUCUGUUUGACAUAGCUGCUGAGGGCCUCUUGGUCCUCUUUCAAAGGGCUGCAAUUUGCAUCAGGAAUUUUUGUCAGCCAUCUACAAUAUGCAGAUGACAUGUUAAUAUUCAUCUCGGCAGAUAUUGAUCAGUUAGUUCAAGUCAAAAGAAUUUUAAGAUGGUUUGCUUUGACUUCAGGCCUUCAUAUAAACUUCCAUAAAAGCUCCAUUAUUGGUAUCAAUGUUGACGAUCACUUGUGCUUGCGCUUGGCUACAUCUAUUUUUUGCAGAUCAGACUCCCUCCCAAGCAAAUAUCUUGGCAUGCCACUAGGAGCCAAUCCAUCUCGUAUCUCUACAUGGAAGCCAGUGAUAGAGAAGUUUCGUAAAAGGCUUCAUAUAUGGAAGGGGAGACUACUAAGCAUGGCUGGUCGUCUAUGUCUCAUUAAAAGUGUCCUUAAUUCCCUGCCUAUAUAUUUUAUGUCUGUAUUCAAGAUGCCAAAAGGGGUAGGCAGGCUUCUUUCAUCCAUCCAAAGACGUUUCUUGUGGUGUGGAUGUACCAAGCAAAGAUCUUUCUGCAAGAUCCAAUGGAGAAUAGUGAUGCGCGAUAAGAAAGGAGGCCUCGGUGUAGGCUCCCUUAUAUCAAAAAACAGAGCCCUGCUAAAAUGGAUUUGGAGACUCUCUUCCCCAGGUACAAGCUUAUGGAAAAUGAUUAUCUCUUCAAUGUACAAUCCAUCUUAUGAGAAUGGGAUCCCAAUUUUCUACAACCAACCAUCCAAGAUAUGGAAGGAUAUUAUGUCCAUUGUUCAAACCGACGUUCACCAAGUCUUCACGAAUCAUUGCAAAUUCAUGGUGGGGAAUGGCAAUUUAACAUCCUUUUGGCUAGACAGCUGGAUUGGUGACGACCCUCUCAAAACAGCCUUCCCAAGGCUAUAUCUUUUGUCUUCCUCUAAAUCUGCUUUGGUGGCUGACAUGGGUAGAUGGAGCAAUGGAAUCUGGCUCUGGUCCCUACAAUGGCGCAGACCUCUUUUUCAUUUUGAACAAGAACAACUAUCACUUUUAUCAUCCUUGCUGGAAUCCAAGCCAAUGUUCUGCCACAAGAUGGAUAAGAAAAUCUGGACCCUCAACACAAUGGCCUCUUCAGUGUAAAAUCUUGCUCCAAAAUGAUGGACCAGUUACUCUACGGUGGAGCCAAACCAUUCCAAUCUUCUGUUUGGAUAAAACUAACCCCACCAAAAGUGCAGCUUUUCCUUUGGCUCCUUGUCCAAGACAAAGUAACCACAAGAGAUUUUAUUUCAACGCGACUACCUCUCCCUUCAGGAGUCAAGAUGUGCUUUCUGCAAUAAAAGCUUGGAAUCUUCAAGUCACCUCUUCAUUCACUGCCACUUCUCUUGGAAUAUAUGGAUGAAACUGCUUUCUAAUCGGGGCUUUUGCAGUGUUUUUCCAAAAUCUGUUGAUGAUAUGUGCUACCAAUGGUCUUCUAUGGUUACAGGCAAGCAGCAAAAUCUCUCAUGGCAACUUCUUUUCUCAUGCGUUGUUUGGAAUCUUUGGCUUCAUCGAAAUGAUGUUAUUUUUAAUGACGCUGCCCCUAACCUUCAAAUUUAUUUCUCCAUGGUGCGCCAAAGUAUUGCUUUAUGGUUGAGGCUUGAUUCCAACUCUUUAGAGUUUAAUAUAGAGAAUGUUUAGUCGGGAGGAGUUGGUCUCUUAUGAUUUGUUUGUUCCCCUUUUGUUGCUCUCCCCUGUUUCAUGCAAUAGUUUUUGUGUUUUCCUUUCUUUUGCUUGUUCAUCUGAUGUAAGUUAGGCUAUUAUCUUUGUAGCCUUUUUCUUAAUAAAAUUUUGACUAUUAACCAAAAAAAAACAAAGAGCUUGAACCUCGAAACAGUCCAGCACUUGAAUUUCUCGUUGUUGUUUUUUUUUCUAGCAACAAAAAAGAAUUCCUUCUUGUUGUUAUUUUUUUGAAAAGACAACAAAAUCCCUUCAUUAAAAUCUCAUUUCUUUCUGUAUACUUUCCAGACAUGAUGAUGCUGAUUUGCACAACAUCUCUCCAGCAGCAAUCAAUACCAGUGACCAUGCUACAAUAAUUGGUUUCGGCGAUAAUUUUUCCCACCCUAAAUUUUUGUCAAGCAAAACACUUUCUGUUUCGAUGUGAUCGUUUUUAAAUGUUUGCUUCUUAGCUUGAAAUCAUGGUUGAACCAGCUUAAAGUCGCCUUUUGAUGUUUAUAAUGCUUCCUGCUAAAAAUGCUACUGAACUUUUGUACAAAUCUUCAUGUGGAGUGUGAUUAAAUUACAUAUAUAAGAGUAAGUUUUCAAAGCCUAUUAUGUAGUAUGGCUUUGCUUCAUUAAAAAAUCAUGAAGAAAAGUUGUAGUAAUGCUAUUUCCAUUGUUUUAGUUAAUGUUUUAUUGGACGUAUGAGAUUAACGUGUCCUGGAGAUGUAGAUUCUUUGCUAGGAAAUUGCAUCUCUCUUGAUUAUAAAGUAAUUAAUCAAUUAGUGACGGUCUUUCACCGAUUGAGAGGAAGAUAUAAAAUUGAUUUUUUUAGUAUUUUUUGUAUAAUUUUGAUAUACUGAUAUUAAAAAUAAAAAAAUAAUAAUUUAAUAUAUUUUUAAACGAAAAACUCUUUUGAAAAUUACCCACACAAUAAUAACUAUUUGGAUUUUCCUUUUUUUCACUUCUAUAAACAACUAAAACUCUAAGAUACUUUUUGCUUGAAAAUACCUUUAAAAUAUUUUUUUAUUUUUGAAAUCAACACCUUAAAAUAAUUGAAAAAUAGUAAAAAAAAAAAAAAACAUUAAUUUAGUGUUUUUUUCUACUGCAUCAUUCAUUAAUGUACUUGGGGUUAGGUCGUUGUCAACUUCUCGAGGAUCCACAAUAUUGGAAGUGCAAAUAAUAGAGAUAGAAGGACAACGUUUAAUAGGUUUAAGGGCAAAUAAUUACUUUUUUUAAUUAUUGAUAGAUAAAUCUUGAAAGUCAUUCUUUGAAAUGAUCAUACCUUCAAGAUAUUUGGAAUUCGUUGAAAAAGAAAAACCAAUAAACAACGAGGAAAGAGGCAACAACUCCGACUACUUUGAAUAGAAUAACUCGUCAAAACAUGUGCAUGAUGGUUGAUAAAUUAUUGACUAUUUUUAUCAUGCAUUGAAUUAUAUAUGUUCAUUCAAUAUAAAUUUAGUAGUUUAGAUUUAAAUGUUCUUAUCCCUAAUUUAAUUUUGGUAUACUAUGAAGGCAUAUCCUCCUCACAUUCUUUUGUAGCAAAACAAUCACUCUAAAGAAAGAGUUAGAGAAAAAAGGAAAGAGCUAGAGACAUGUUUCGCAAAAUCUUAGCUGACAAGCCUCAUGUAAUCUGUAUUCCUUGUCCAGCUCAAAGCCAUGUAAAGGCAAUGCUUAAACUAGCAAAACUACUGCAUUCCCGAGGUUUUCUCAUAACCUUUGUGAACACAGAGUUCAACCAUAGACGCUUGCUUAAAUCUAGAGGCCCUUAUUCCCUGAAUGGCUUGCCCGACUUUCGGUUCGAAUCUAUCCCUGAUGGCCUCCCUCCUUCAGAGGAGAAUGC